GAUCUUUUAUUUGAAUCUAGUGUAUAGUGUGAAUGACAGUGUUUUAAUGAAGGAUGAAUCAACUUAAGGCAAAUUAAGAUAUUAAUAUAAUCAUAUUACACCAAGAAGGAUCACACAAACUUCUCUAAUAAGGGAAUUUCUUGAUGUUUAGGAGAUGAAGACCGUCCUUGGAAAUGAUAACGGUUCUUGGGAUGUAAUUGAAAAUCCCAUGAAGAGGAGUUAAAUAUAAUGUACAGUAAUUAAUAGGUAUAUCAUAAUAAUAAAUAAAUUUAUUGUAGUUGCGAAGCUAGUAUUUUGUGAAAGCAGGGAGUUUAGGACUUGCUAUGGUUCAAGGUUAUCAAAUUCGCCAUGUCCCUCUAUGUCUUAAUCUUUUAUGUUGUUUUACACAAUGUUAUAACGCUUAUGCCUGUUAAAAAAACAAGGUUUGUCCUUUUUGUGAUUGCUUAAUUUAGAAACUAAGCGAAAAAACGUAUUCUACAA